rnacentral:lncRNA from 1 species
UCGGACAGCUGUUCUUUCUGAGUUCUAUGUGAGGGAGGAAAAACCAGCGUGUGCUGCUCUGUAGCCGGGAGAAUGGUCCUCCUCUGAGACCCAGAGGAUGCAAGCGCCCCCGACUCAGAUGUGCAGCUAAUGAGAAUAAGGCGCUCAUUACUUGAAGAUUGCAUUGUUGAUCAACAUAAUGCUGGUGCCAAAUGCUUGCUUCCAAGACCAGGGUCUUCAGAGGCACCAGCUGGAGUCUGGUUUCACCACUGUGGUCCCAUAGUUCCUGGAUCAGAGAGGCAUGACCUUAGCUGCUCCUGCAGCGCAUGGCGCCAGCUCCCUCUCUGGCGCGGCAUCAUCACGC